rnacentral:rRNA from 1 species
CUUUGACGCAGUUGCGCCCGAAGCCUAUGGCUGAGGGCACGUCUGCCUGGGCGUCACGCAUCGCGUCUCCCCUACAAAUCACCUUGAUUUUGGGGGAAGGAGGAUGGCUUCCCGCGCCUCACCGGGCGCGGCUGGCCUAAACUCGGAGCCAACGGCACGGAGCUGCUGCGGCGACUGGUGGUGAACAAGGCCUCGGCCGCGCAAACAACCCGCUGUGGAAGCCCGCGCUAAUUUGGACUCGUCGGACCCUUGGACGGUGCUUCUAGCACCGCAAACCUUUGCGACCCCAGGUCAGGCGGGGCUACCCGCUGAAUUUAAGCAUAUCAAUAAGCGGAGGAAAAGAAACUUACGAGGAUUCCCCUAGUAACGGCGAGCGAACCGG